rnacentral:rRNA from 1 species
GCUUGCUCCUUGGGUGACGAGUGGCGGACGGGUGAGUAAUGUCUGGGAAACUGCCCGAUGGAGGGGGAUAACUACUGGAAACGGUAGCUAAUACCGCAUAACGUCGCAAGACCAAAGAGGGGGACCUUCGGGCCUCUUGCCAUCGGAUGUGCCCAGAUGGGAUUAGCUAGUAGGUGGGGUAACGGCUCACCUAGGCGACGAUCCCUAGCUGGUCUGAGAGGAUGACCAGCCACACUGGAACUGAGACACGGUCCAGACUCCUACGGGAGGCAGCAGUGGGGAAUAUUGCACAAUGGGCGCAAGCCUGAUGCAGCCAUGCCGCGUGUAUGAAGAAGGCCUUCGGGUUGUAAAGUACUUUCAGCGAGGAGGAAGGGGAUGUGGUUAAUAACCGCAUUCAUUGACGUUACUCGCAGAAGAAGCACCGGCUAACUCCGUGCCAGCAGCCGCGGUAAUACGGAGGGUGCAAGCGUUAAUCGGAAUUACUGGGCGUAAAGCGCACGCAGGCGGUCUGUCAAGUCGGAUGUGAAAUCCCCGGGCUCAACCUGGGAACUGCAUCCGAAACUGGCAGGCUAGAGUCUUGUAGAGGGGGGUAGAAUUCCAGGUGUAGCGGUGAAAUGCGUAGAGAUCUGGAGGAAUACCGGUGGCGAAGGCGGCCCCCUGGACAAAGACUGACGCUCAGGUGCGAAAGCGUGGGGGAGCAAACAGGAUUAGAUACCCUGCUAGUCCACGCCGGUAACGAUGUCGACUUGGAGA